rnacentral:rRNA from 1 species
GACGAACGCUGGCGGCGUGCUUAACACAUGCAAGUCGAACGAAGAGCGAUGGACGCUUGCUUCUCUCAAUCUUAGUGGCGGACGGGUGAGUAACGCGUAAUCAACCUGCCCUUCAGAGGGGGACAACAGUUGGAAACGACUGCUAAUACCGCAUACGAUCUAAUCUCGGCAUCGAGGAUAGAUGAAAGGUGGCCUCUACAUGUAAGCUAUCACUGAAGGAGGGGAUUGCGUCUGAUUAGCUAGUUGGAGGGGUAACGGCCCACCAAGGCGAUGAUCAGUAGCCGGUCUGAGAGGAUGAACGGCCACAUUGGGACUGAGACACGGCCCAGACUCCUACGGGAGGCAGCAGUGGGGAAUCUUCCGCAAUGGACGAAAGUCUGACGGAGCAACGCCGCGUGAGUGAUGACGGCCGUCGGGUUGUAAAGCUCUGUUAAUCGGGACGAAAGGCCUUCUUGCGAAUAGUGAGAAGGAUUGACGGUACCGGAAUAGAAAGCCACGGCUAACUACGUG